GGGCUAUACAUGCAAGUCGAACGAACUCUGGUAUUGAUUGGUGCUUGCAUCAUGAUUUACAUUUGAGUGAGUGGCGAACUGGUGAGUAACACGUGGGAAACCUGCCCAGAAGCGGGGGAUAACACCUGGAAACAGAUGCUAAUACCGCAUAACAACUUGGACCGCAUGGUCCGAGUUUGAAAGAUGGCUUCGGCUAUCACUUUUGGAUGGUCCCGCGGCGUAUUAGCUAGAUGGUGGGGUAACGGCUCACCAUGGCAAUGAUACGUAGCCGACCUGAGAGGGUAAUCGGCCACAUUGGGACUGAGACACGGCCCAAACUCCUACGGGAGGCAGCAGUAGGGAAUCUUCCACAAUGGACGAAAGUCUGAUGGAGCAACGCCGCGUGAGUGAAGAAGGGUUUCGGCUCGUAAAACUCUGUUGUUAAAGAAGAACAUAUCUGAGAGUAACUGUUCAGGUAUUGACGGUAUUUAACCAGAAAGCCACGGCUAACUACGUGCCAGCAGCCGCGGUAAUACGUAGGUGGCAAGCGUUGUCCGGAUUUAUUGGGCGUAAAGCGAGCGCAGGCGGUUUUUUAAGUCUGAUGUGAAAGCCUUCGGCUCAACCGAAGAAGUGCAUCGGAAACUGGGAAACUUGAGUGCAGAAGAGGACAGUGGAACUCCAUGUGUAGCGGUGAAAUGCGUAGAUAUAUGGAAGAACACCAGUGGCGAAGGCGGCUGUCUGGUCUGUAACUGACGCUGAGGCUCGAAAGUAUGGGUAGCAAACAGGAUUAGAUACCCUGGUAGUCCAUACCGUAAACGAUGAAUGCUAAGUGUUGGAGGGUUUCCGCCCUUCAGUGCUGCAGCUAACGCAUUAAGCAUUCCGCCUGGGGAGUACGGCCGCAAGGCUGAAACUCAAAGGAAUUGACGGGGGCCCGCACAAGCGGUGGAGCAUGUGGUUUAAUUCGAAGCUACGCGAAGAACCUUACCAGGUCUUGACAUACUAUGCAAAUCUAAGAGAUUAGACGUUCCCUUCGGGGACAUGGAUACAGGUGGUGCAUGGUUGUCGUCAGCUCGUGUCGUGAGAUGUUGGGUUAAGUCCCGCAACGAGCGCAACCCUUAUUAUCAGUUGCCAGCAUUAAGUUGGGCACUCUGGUGAGACUGCCGGUGACAAACCGGAGGAAGGUGGGGAUGACGUCAAAUCAUCAUGCCCCUUAUGACCUGGGCUACACACGUGCUACAAUGGAUGGUACAACGAGUUGCGAACUCGCGAGAGUAAGCUAAUCUCUUAAAGCCAUUCUCAGUUCGGAUUGUAGGCUGCAACUCGCCUACAUGAAGUCGGAAUCGCUAGUAAUCGCGGAUCAGCAUGCCGCGGUGAAUACGUUCCCGGGCCUUGUACACACCGCCCGUCACACCAUGAGAGUUUGUAACACCCAAAGUCGGUGGGGUAACCUUUUAGGAACCAGCCGCCUAAGGGGCACACAUAAAGG
rnacentral:rRNA from 1 species